UCUCGAAACUGUAUCCCUUGAGUAUCGGAGAGGCAAGCGGAAUUCCUAGUGUAGCGGUGAAAUGCGUAGAUAUUAGGAGGAACACCAGUGGCGAAGGCGGCUUGCUGGACGACAACUGACGCUGAGGCGCGAAAGCGUGGGGAGCAAACAGGAUUAGAUACCCUGGUAGUCCACGCUGUAAACGAUGAAUACUAGGUGUGGGAGGACUGACCCCUUCCGUGCCGCAGUUAACACAAUAAGUAUUCCACCUGGGGAGUACGACCGCAAGGUUGAAACUCAAAGGAAUUGACGGGGGCCCGCACAGGCAGUGGAUUAUGUGGUUUAAUUCGACGCAACGCGAAGAACCUUACCAGGAUUUGACAUCCAACUAACGAAGCAGAGAUGCAUUAGGUGCCCUUCGGGGAAAGUUGAGACAGGUGGUGCAUGGUUGUCGUCAGCUCGUGUCGUGAGAUGUUGGGUUAAGUCCCGCAACGAGCGCAACCCCUAUUGUUAGUUGCUACGCAAGAGCACUCUAGCGAGACUGCCGUUGACAAAACGGAGGAAGGCGGGGACGACGUCAAAUCAUCAUGCCCCUUAUGUCCUGUGCUACACACGUAAUACAAUGGCCGUCAACAAAGGGAAGCAAAGCCGCGAGGUGCAGCAAACCCCCAAAAACGGUCUCAGUUCGGAUUGCAGGCUGCAACUCGCCUGCAUAAAGCUGGAAUUGCUAGUAAUCGUGAUCAGCAUGCCACGGUGAAUACGUUCCCUGGGCCUGUACACAC
rnacentral:rRNA from 1 species